rnacentral:sRNA from 1 species
GUCUGAGCGCCCGGCGGAAAACCGAAGUCAGAAGUCUCUCUUAGCAGCACGCGGAGAAGAACGGGGAGCCAGCAUCAUGGCAGAACAGGAUGUGGAAAACGAUCUUUUGGAUUAUGAUGAAGAGGAAGAGCCCCAGGCUCCUCAAGAGAGCACACCGGCUCCCCCUAAGAAAGACAUCAAGGGAUCCUACGUUUCCAUCCACAGCUCUGGCUUCCGGGACUUUCUGCUGAAGCCGGAGCUCCUGCGGGCCAUCGUGGACUGUGGCUUUGAGCAUCCUUCUGAGGGUACGCCUUCUGGGUGUUAUCCUCUUGCCCAGGUCCUCACCAAGACAAGACCAGCCCUGCCCGCCCAGAGCGGUGCUGCCUCCAGUGUGCCGUGGGUGAGGGAGGGGCCCGUCCGUCCUGCGGAUCAGUUGUGCCCAGCGGGGCCUGUGGCUGCCCUCGGCAGCGGGGCGUUCUGCUUUGACCAGGCGGAUACCCCAGCCCUGCAGGUGUCUGUGGCCUUGUCCGGACUCGGCCUCUUCUGAUUGCCCUCACUGUGGGCCCCCGGUCAACUGGUGAGGAUCCUGCACGGGGGUGCGUCCAGGUUCUCGUCCCUCACGCUCUGCUUCUCCUGCAGUCCAGCAUGAGUGCAUUCCCCAGGCCAUCCUGGGCAUGGACGUCCUGUGCCAGGCCAAGUCCGGGAUGGGCAAGACAGCGGUCUUCGUGCUGGCCACCCUACAGCAGAUUGAGCCUGUCAACGGACAGGUGACGGUCCUGGUCAUGUGCCACACGAGGGAGCUGGCCUUCCAGAUCAGCAAGGAAUAUGAGCGCUUUUCCAAGUACAUGCCCAGCGUCAAGGUGAGCCCCUCGGGCCGGACUGGACCAGGCGCCACUUGGUUUCUGCAGCUUUGUUAGCCUCGGCUCUGGCCCAGCCAGCAUUUACCAAGCUUGGCAGGGGCAGCUGCCUUUGAGGUUUGCGGUGGUUUUUGCUCCUUAAAAGCUUGAUGAAUUAUGCAUGGCUCCCAGGGGCCUGCGCAGGUCCCAGCCUGGGGCUGCCUUUGAGUGGAGCCCCGGGAGGCUCUCAGGCCUGCCUUGGUCCCCUGAGGCCUCCUGUUCGCAGGUGCUGGGCCGUGCGGGUCGGGGCCU